GCGGGAGUGGCGGAACUGGCAGACGCACUGGAUUUAGGUUCCAGCGGGUAACUCCGUGCAGGUUCAAGUCCUGUCUCCCGCA
rnacentral:tRNA from 3 species